UUGACGCCUUCUGCUCCAAUUUGCCAUGAAUUCUGGCUUUGGUACAUCUAAUCCUGUGAAAAAUAAAACAUGCUCAUCAUCUGUUAUGGCCACAACUUCAGAUUUACAGCAUCUGCGGUUCUUUGCUUUACACGUUGAUUUUGAUGUUGUGACCGGCCAACAACAAAUCAAAGGAGAUCAGAUACGUGGUGUCGUAAUCUACUGGGAUUCAAGUAACUAACUGUGGAAGUCAGAGAACCAGUUGUGACUGUGAGACGUGGUGUUGUGUUGGAAGCACACAGAUGACCUGGGAUGUUCAUUAGAUGCAUCAAGAAGUUGCUAUGGAGACGGUGCAGGACGUUACCCCCAGUUACGGCAGGGUUCCCUUCCUGGGAACCGUUCCCAAGCGGAACAUGCGUCCGUGAACAGAGUUCCCACACGGCAGAAGAUGCCUGCAGCCCCGCAGCAGCCGGUAAAUCCAUCCCACCGUCUCCCAGACACUCGCUCAUGUGUACGGGCUGUACUUUACUGUGUCCGUAAGUUGGGGACGAUCUACACCUCAAACAAGUCAACUCGGGGCUGGACAACGAUUAAAGAUAAAGACGGAACAAAGAAAUAAUGACAGAAAAUGCUCAAAAUACUCAGCCGGUCGGGCAGCAUCUUGUGGAGAAA